rnacentral:rRNA from 1 species
GAUGAACGCUGGCGGCGUGCCUAAUACAUGCAAGUCGAGCGAACAGAUGAGGAGCUUGCUCCUCUGACGUUAGCGGCGGACGGGUGAGUAACACGUGGAUAACCUACCUAUAAGACUGGGAUAACUUCGGGAAACCGGAGCUAAUACCGGAUAAUAUAUUGAACCGCAUGGUUCAAUAGUGAAAGACGGUUUUGCUGUCACUUAUAGAUGGAUCCGCGCCGCAUUAGCUAGUUGGUAAGGUAACGGCUUACCAAGGCAACGAUGCGUAGCCGACCUGAGAGGGUGAGCGGCCACACUGGAACUGAGACACGGUCCAGACUCCUACGGGAGGCAGCAGUAGGGAAUCUUCCGCAAUGGGCGAAAGCAUGACGGAGCAACGCCGAGUGAGUGAUGAAGGUCUUCGGAUCGUAAAACUCUGUUAUUAGGGAAGAACAAAUGUGUAAGUAACUAUGCCCGUCUUGACGGUACCUAAUCAGAAAGCCACGGCUAACUACGUG